rnacentral:hammerhead_ribozyme from 1 species
AUCCAACUGAAGAGUCCGAAAUAUGACGAAACGUGAGUCCUGGAU